rnacentral:tRNA from 1 species
GCCGGAGUGGCGGAAUUGGCAGACGCGCUGGAUUCAAAAUCCAGUUCCCCCUAAAGGAGUGUGGGUUCAAGUCCCUCCUCCGGCAC